UGGGGGAUCGUCUAGCGGCAGGACGUCAGACUCUGGAUCUGACUGCCCAGGUUCGAAUCCUGGUCCCCCAGCCA
rnacentral:tRNA from 1 species